CGGGGCCAGGCUCUGCCUGUGGCUGCUGACUCAUUCUGCAGCUGAGCAUCCCUGGAAAGCCGCUGAUCAGCUGCGCUAUGGGCUGGCAGGGCACCUUGGGAGCAGGGACAAAGUUGUCACGUGCAGGGACAGAGGGGCUUUGCAUGGGGAUGGGACAGCCUGGGAAAGCCUCUCUGUGAUGGUGUGGAGAGGAAGGGGCUCGGGACCCCCGUUUGCAGCAUCACCCGUGCUUUGGUGUGGCUUAAAUUAGAGUGAGUUCAGGGGAGGAAGAAAGAUUGUUCUCAUCCCGAAAUACCUCUGCUCAUUUUCCACCUGGUUUCCCAGGGAAAUGGAGGCAGUUAGUGUGCACAUGAGCAUCCCACCCAACCCCGUGGCUGGGAACUCAGAGCUAAUGCAGCCCUGCUCCCUGCUUCCCACUUUCCCUUUAGCUGCCUUCCCUUGCUGCCGCUCCCAGCCUUUCCUUUGCGAAGGCUAAAAAAAAACCAUUCCAUUUGUAAUAAUAGGAAAAAAAUACAUAUCCAACCCCAAACCCCAAACCUCAAACAGUGACGCCUGAGAGUCCUGCCAUCACGGGACUCCCGUGGGCAGGGUGAGUUGGGUUUAACCCCUAUGGAGCCCCAAUCCCAGUGUGUUGGGUGUCCCAGCUCUGGGUGGGCACAGGAGGGGAGCAGCCCCCCGCUCACUCCAUCUUGCUGCACUCAUGCAGCUUUCAUCCCCUGAAUUUCCUUGCUGAGGCUUCACGGCUGCUCCCUGCUUGUACCACUGCGGCGCCUGGGGAACAGGAAGAAAAAGAGCCUGGGACAAAAAGUGCCUCGCUCCACCACACUGGGGGUCACAGCCAGUCACCACGCAGCAGGGACCAUCCCUCAAUCUGCUCCGUGGGGUUGAAUUCCAAUGAUCAAUCCAGAGCUGGGAAAGCCCCCAGCUUGGUGCUGGCAGCACUGGUCAUGUAUUGGAUGGAAAAGGAUGGAUGCAUGGCGUGCAGUGCUAGGGGACGUGCGUGUGUGGUGCGUGGUGCUAAGGGGCUGUACAUGCAUGGUGCGUGCUGCUCAGGGCUGUGUGUCCAUGGUGCGUGAUGCUAGGAGGUGUACAUCCAGAGUGCACGGUGCUAGGGGCUGUGCAAGCAUGGUGCACGGUGCUAAAAGGUGUACAUGUAGUGCUGGAGGCUGUUUGCCCUUGGUUCUUGGGCUGUAUUCACACCACUCCCUGGCACGUUGGUUCCCUGGGGUUCUCAGGGAUCAUCCUUUGCAGAGAGAUGCAGCUCCAGGGCAGCCUCCCUUCAGCCUGGCCCUGGCAGCCUGCGACCUGGGCCAGAGCUCACCACAGAGGUGCCAAAUCUGCUUCAGUGGCUGCCAAAAUCAAUGCAGCACAAAGAGCUCAUAAAUUACAAAGGCGCUCUGAGGCUCAGGGUCGCUGCGUGCCAGUCCAGGGCCGAGGAAACCACCGAGCCCCUGCAGAGGAGUGCAUGGGGCCACGCUAUCCUGCAGAGCCAUGCACCACGCAGGGACCUCUCCAUAUCCCUGGUGUCCUCUCCAGAUGGCUGGAGCUCCUCCGUGACAUCCCCAGUGUCCCUGGUGCUGCUCUGCGGAGCUGGUGACAGCCGUGCUAGCUGCUGGGCUCUCCUUUCAGUGCUGCUCCUCAGCCGGCGAGGGAGAGCCCUUUGUGCCAGGCAGCCUUGAGAGAGACCUGGGACAUAAUGGCUGCUUUACUCGGCCCUGGUUUUCCCAGCCUGUGCGCGGGAAACCUCCGGCGUGAGCUGAAUGGCAACGAGGAGACCUCCUGCUCCAUCCCUCCCCCACUGCCCCAUGCUUUGUGCACCUUCAGCAUCCCCAUCUCCAGCUGAACCCCCCUGGCCACACGUGUGGAAGCACACUCACAAGCACAUGUACGUGCCCAUACACGUGCACAUGCAUGCUGCAGUGCACAUGCAAGUUGCAACGCAUGCACACCCAAAAGCCCAGCUUGCAUGCGUGCACUCACGCUCUCACACCAUGAGCCAGGGCUCAGUGGCUCAUUCCUUCAACCCUGAUCAACACCAGCUAUUACAAUCCCCUCUGAGGUUUCUGACUGCGGUGUCUCGAUGCGCAGCCCAGCUCUGGCAUCUCCUCCUGCCUGGCUGUGCACUCAGACUUUCCAUGCUGUGCUCAGAUCUGCUGUCCCCAGAGGACCCCUCUCCCUGGGGCUGGAUUGGACCCUGGGCACUGAGCUGAGGCACUGCAGCUCUCCUGCUCCUCAGAGCACAUCUGCACAUUUCCUUCUGCUCACUCUCCUUUAUGCCAUGCAGGGUCCGUGCUGGCUGCAUGCUCUCAACCUGAUGCUUUUGUGCAUCACCCCGUGCAUGCAGGCACCAGUCUCUCCCAGUCCUCCCUCUAGCAGAGAGCUGGAGGUUAUGAUACUUCUUUGCACUUCAAACCCUCUGCUGGACUUUUGUAACCCCUCACAGGGCACAGGAUGGCCUCAGUUCUCCCACUGCUGCUGCUCUGGGCAUUUGCCCCCACGGUGGUCCCGGAGGUGCUCAGCCCUGAAGAUGUCACAGAUGACCUCAAGGCCCUGCAGGUGUCCAUCCCACGGCACCCAGCCCUUCACGCUGUGCUGGCAGGGGACGUCACCAUCCCCUGCCUCAUCACCUACCUCGCACCCCUGCCCACUGCCACCACGGCGGGACGCCGAGCAGUGCUGGGAGCCCCCCGGGUCAAGUGGACCUUCAUUUCUGAAGGCAGGGAGGCAGAGAUCUUGGUAGCACGGGGGGAAAAGGUGAAGGUGAGUGAGGACUACCGCCUCCGUGCCUCCUUGCCUGUCUUCCAUCAGCGUUACACUGACGCCUCUCUGCUGCUCACCGAGCUGCGCCCCAAUGACUCGGGGAUCUACCGCUGCGAUGUGCAGCAUGGCAUCGAGGACGGCCACGACAUCCUCGACCUCAGAGUCAAAGGAGUGGUGUUUCACUACCGUGGGGGUUCCACACGCUACACCUACACUUUUGCCGAGGCGCAGGAGGCAUGCACUGCCAUCAGUGCCAGCAUUGCCACCCCUGAGCAGCUGUAUGCUGCCUAUCUGGGAGGCUACGAGCAGUGUGAUGCUGGCUGGAUCGCUGACCAGACCGUCAGGUACCCCAUCCACACUCCCCGCGAGGCGUGCUACGGAGACAUGAAUGGCUUCCCAGGGGUGAGGAACUACGGUGUGGUGGACCCGGAGGACAUGUACGACGUGUACUGUUAUGCUGAGGACGUGCCAGGGGAAAUAUUUUUGGAGACGGCCCCGGACAAGUUUACCCUGGAGGAGGCGGUGGUGCGGUGCAGGGCGCAGGGUGCGGUGCUGGCGAGCACAGGACAGCUCUACGCAGCCUGGAGUGCAGGGUUGGAUGCCUGCAACCCUGGCUGGCUGGCUGAUGGCAGCGUCCGCUAUCCCAUCGUCACCCCGCGGGAGCGCUGCGGAGGAGCCCUGCCGGGUGUCAAAACCAUCUUCCAGUUUCGCAACCAGACGGGAUUCCCCGACGCACAGAGCAGAUACGAUGCGUACUGCUUCCGAGAAGGGACAAACUCUUUCCCUGAGGCUGCAGGAAAAUAUCAAGCCAGAGAGCCCGAGGGCCUCCAGGAGAUUGUUACAGUGGCAGAAAAGCUGGAGGAGCUGCAGCUGCCCAAAGCGCAAGUGGAGAUUGAGUCGCGAGGGGCUAUAUACGCCGUCCCUUUCUUUAAGGACGUGGCUGAUGCUGAGCUGGAAAAGCCAAGCCUGUCCCCCGAAGACACCCGGCACCCCCCAGUAGAUACCUCCUCGUCCUCAGCACGAGGACGUCACCCAUCCUCGGCUGCCCCUUUCCCCACAGCCCCAGCCAUCCCCAAGGCAGGCAUCCCGCAUAGCUGUGCUGUACAACCAGGCAGCCCGUCCCCUGCAGACCAGGACGAGGCGACAGGGACAGGUGGAAGGUGCACAGAGGCCAGGCAAGAGCCAUCCCGCACGGAGGAUGGAGCAGCGCUGGAACGGCCGCUGGGCUCUGUGCUGGGUGAGGACUUUGGGAACACAGCAGCAGAGAGUCCGGGCAGAGGGCAAGAGCCUGGACAGCCCAUGAAGCCGAAUGUGCAGACAGUCUUGGUGGGCACAGAAGGACCCAGUGACGCCCUGUCCCCAUCGGUGGCUGCAGCAGAUAUCCAAGAGCCAUCCUCCUCUGUAGGCAGCCGUGGGGCUGGGGGGACCAGCACCCCCAUCCACACUGUGGGGGCUGCUGAGGACCCCGAGCUGUCAGGAGAUGUGACCGAAAACCCUGGGGCAUCCCCGCUGCCCCCCGCACCGCCGCAGCUGCAGGAUGAUGGAGAGGAGCAGUCGGGGGCCCCGUGGCUCUCCUCACCCACAGCACCAGGGGAUGGGGGCACAGCCCCGGCAACGGAGGUCACCCCAUGGCACGCAGAGUUGCCCAGCAGCAGCGAUGCACUGCAAACCCCAAGCACUGAUCGCGGGAUGCCCACUGCAUCUUCAGAAGAGGAGGAGGGUGAGGAAGAGGAGGAGGAUGAAGAAGAGCGUCCGAUGCCCUCUGUUGCAACCGUGGAGGGUUUCCUUGCAGCCGUCCCCGGAGAACCAGGUGGCUGCAUCCCCAACCCCUGCCUGAACGGAGGGACCUGCAUUGAGGAUGGCACCCAUCCCACCUGCCUCUGCCUGCCAGGUUAUGGAGGGAGCAGCUGUGAGAGACCUUUGAAGAGGUGCAGCCCCAGCUGGGACAGCUUCCAGGGAGCCUGCUACAAGCACUUCUCCACCCGGAGGAGCUGGGAGGACGCCGAGUCACAGUGCAGACAUUUUGGGGGGCAUCUGGCCACUAUCCUGACCCCCGAGGAGCAGGACUUCAUCAACGAACAGUACCGCGAGUACCAAUGGAUCGGCCUCAACGACCGCACCAUCGAGGGGGACUUCCAGUGGUCCGACGGCAGCCCCCUGCUCUACGAAAAUUGGCACCCGGGGCAACCCGACAGCUACUUUCUCUCCGGUGAGAACUGCGUGGUCAUUGUGUGGCACGACGGGGGACAAUGGAGUGAUGUCCCCUGCAAUUACCACCUCUCCUACACCUGCAAAAUGGGGCUGGUGCAGUGCGGACCCCCCCCCACCGUCAGCAACGCCCUCGCCUUCGGCAAACCAAAGCAGCGCUACGAGAUCGGCUCCAUCACUCGCUACCACUGCCGCCACGGCUUCGCCCCGCGCCGCUCCCCCAUCAUCCGCUGCCGUGAGGAUGGGAUUUGGGAACGGCCCCAGCUCUCCUGCCGCCCCGGGCUGGCUCAGCACUCCGAGGACUGAGUGAGCUGUCACCUUCCCAGGAUGGAUGAGGAUGUCACCGGGAUGGCAAUGCAGCACUGGAGGGCAAGAGGUGUCCUGGGCUGGGGGAUGCUGGAGGUACCUUGCAGUGCAGAGGUGAAGCAGAAGGCAUCAAAGCGGUCCCGCUGCUUGUCCUUGGCCCCAU